CAGGUGGGGAAGACUGAGCAGGUGGGGAAGACUGAGCAGGUGGGGAAGACUGAGCAGGUGGGGAAGACGGAGCAGGUGGGUGCAGGUAGGGAAGACGGAGCAGGUGGGUGCAGGUAUGGAAGACGGUGCAGGUGGGGAAGACGGAGCAGGUGGGUGCAGGUGGGGAAGACGGAGCAGGUGGGGAAGACGGAGCAGGUGGGUGCAGGUGGGGAAGACGGAGCAGGUGGGGAAGACGGAGCAGGUGGGUGCAGGUGGGGAAGACGGUGCAGGUAGGGAAGACGGAGCAGGUGGGUGCAGGUGGGGAAGACUGAGCAGGUGGGGAAGACUGAGCAGGUG
ensembl:lncRNA